rnacentral:rRNA from 1 species
CAAUAGCGUAUAUUAAAGUUGUUGCAGUUAAAAAGCUCGGAGUUGGAUUUCUGGUGGGAGCGAUCGGUCUGGCGCUUAGCGCGAGUACUUGCAUCGUCUCCGGCCAUCCUUGGGGAGAGUCUGUCUGGCAUUAAGUUGUCGGGCAGAGGAUCCUCAUCGUUUACUGUGAAAAAAUUAGAGUGUUCAAAGCAGGCUUAUGCCGUUGAAUAUAUUAGCAUGGAAUAAUAAGAUAGGACUUUGGUACUAUUUUGUUGGUUUGCGCACCAAAGUAAUGAUUAAUAGGGACAGUUGGGGGUAUUCGUAUUCCGUUGUCAGAGGUGAAAUUCUUGGAUUUACGGAAGACGAACUACUGCGAAAGCAUUUACCAAGGAUGUUUUCAUUAA